AUGGGUGGCGCAUUUACGUUGUAGAUGUCUAUGGGCUCCGGUAACCACUUAACACCAGGUGGGCUGUGAGCUCAUCUACCGACCUAAGCAAUAAAAUAAAAAAAAUAAGCUGAUGGUUUAGAGAGACCAUGUCAGCGUCGCCGGGCUAGUAGGUGAGCUCACGGGGCCCAAACCUGAAGAUGUUGCUAAUACGAACCCUAGCAAGAGCCGUGAUUCGCAGAAUCUACCACCGGAUCGGAAACGCGACCCACUGAGAAGACCCGGCAAGAAACUCAGUACAGUCUGUGGGUUAAUUUACUCGCCGAGCCCGUCAAUUGUGUCUCUGAUAUUGUUUAUAUCCAUCAGCAUCGGUGACAACCAACCAUCCGAGUCCAUCACAGAUUGUAGCUACGGUACCCAUA